rnacentral:rRNA from 1 species
AUGGAAGAAGAACCUCCAAUAUUUGCUGAAGAGGAGGUUGGUACUAGUAAGAAGAAGAAGAAGCGCAAACGCGAGACAAUAAAGCAAACUGAAUGCAAGGCGAAAAUGUUGGUGAAGCUGAUAGAUGGGCGAUGGGAGGUGACGCACUUUGUUCGUGACCACAAUCAUCCGCUUGUGAACAAACCGUCAUUGUCCAAAUACUUGAGAUCCCACCAAGGCAUCUCACCUGAUGAAAAGGAGUUUCUGCGCAUCUUGUAUAACUGCAACUUGACUACAGGACGAAUGAUGCAUGUAAUGGCAGAGUUCUAUGGAUCUGAGAUGAUGGUGCCGUUCGGACCAAAGGCAAUACCAAAUCUUUGUACAAGUUUCCAUAGAGAUGACACAAAGGAGGGUGAUCUGAUUGAGACAAUUGCGCACUUCAAGGAUAUACAAAAAAUCGAUCCAAACUUCUUCUAUAAGGUGAAAUAUGAUGAAGAGGACAGAGUUGUCAACAUAUUUUGGGUGGACGGCUUAACUCGAAAAGCUUAUGCGGAGGCGUACCACGAUUGCAUAUCGUUUGACACCACCUACAUGACCAACUUGUACAAUAUGCCGUUCGCGCCCUUCAUAGGAAUAAACCGACAUGGCCAAUCUUUCAUGCUGGGUUGCGCGUUUGUGAGGCGGGAGUUGGCAUCGAGCUUUGAUUGGGUCUUUGGAGCAUUCCUAGAGGCUAUGGAUGGCAAACCUCUUGACAACUUCAUCACCGAUCAGGAUGGUGCGAUGAGGCAGUCAAUACAGAGCAUCUUUCCAACCACCGUGUACCGCUGUUGUCGAUGGCACAUCAUGAAAAAGGCUCAGGAAAAGGUUGGUUGGUUGCUGUGCCGGAAUCCAGGACUCUCUGAUGAUUUCAACAAGUGUGUUGACUUCAGCUUCACUAUAGACGAGUUUGAGCAGAAUUGGGCUGGGUUAAUGAUGAAGUAUGAGGCUAUGACACACACGCACUUUGAGAAGUUGUACGAAUACAUGUCAACUUGGGUGCCAUGCUACUUCAAACACAGGUUCUUCCCCUUCCUCCAGUCUACACAGCGUAGUGAGGGGUUCAACGCCUUUCUCAAAAGAUAUGUGAACCCACACAACUCAAUGCUGAACUUCGUCAAGAAAUAUGAAAAAAUCCAGAACCACAUCCUUGCCAAGGAAGGCUGCAAUGAUUACAGGACAGAACACCUUGAGAUUGAGUUGUGGUCCAACUUCCCAAUAGAGAAGCAAGCUUACAAAACCUAUACUAGAGACCUUUACCACAAGUUCAGAGAAGAGUUUGAGCUGAUUGGACGUUAUAAUGCAUUCCAAGUUGGUGCUGAUGUGUUUGAGCUCAGACCGAACCAGGAAUUUGUUGCAAAAUAUGGUUCUCGAAACUACUUGGUGCAGGCAAGGGUGGAGGAGGGUUCCUAUUUGUGUGAGUGUUGUAAAAUGGACAAGGACGGCAUCCUCUGUUGCCACAUCCUCAAGGUGUUCACCCAUGUUGGUGUUGAUGUCAUACCGGAAAGGUACCUGCUAAGACGGUGGACACCUACUGCUGUACCUAGUGCGCCAGGGACUGGUUAUGAGCAACCGGAUGAAAUGCCUCCUCAAUCAAAGAAGCAGAUAAGGGAGAGGAACAUGAUAUACGAUUUUCGGAAACUAGCAAAGUUUGCGAGUGGUUCUGAUCCAGCACAAGCUAUUGUAUACAAGCAUAUGCGUGCAGCACGUACCGAGAUCGGCCACCUGAACAAGUCCAAGAAAAAGAAAAAACCGACUGCUGCAACGGGGCCAUCAGAUGAUGGCAACCCUCGAGGACCUCCUCCACCUCCAGGCAGCAAUCAGGGGGCUCAUCAUCCAGGCAAUUACCUGCCCCAACUCCUGAUUUAA